rnacentral:rRNA from 1 species
GAUGAACGCUGGCGGCGUGCCUAAUACAUGCAAGUCGAGCGAACGGACGAGAAGCUUGCUUCUCUGAUGUUAGCGGCAGACGGGUGAGUAACACGUGGAUAACCUACCUUUAAGACUGGGAUAACUUCGGGAAACCGGAGCUAAUACCGGAUAAUAUUUUGAACCGCAUGGUUCAAAAGUGAAAGACGGUCUUGCUGUCACUUAUAGAUGGAUCCGCGCUGCAUUAGCUAGUUGGUAAGGUAACGGCUUACCAAGGCAACGAUGCAUAGCCGACCUGAGAGGGUGAUCGGCCACACUGGAACUGAGACACGGUCCAGACUCCUACGGGAGGCAGCAGUAGGGAAUCUUCCGCAAUGGGCGAAAGCCUGACGGAGCAACGCCGCGUGAGUGAUGAAGGUCUUCGGAUCGUAAAACUCUGUUAUUAGGGAAGAACAUAUGUGUAAGUAACUGUGCACAUCUUGACGGUACCUAAUCAGAAAGCCACGGCUAACUACGUG